GGCACCUUCAGUGCUUAGGGAGAAAUGUGCUGAGGGAGAGAAAGCACAGAGAUCUGGAAUACAGAGGAAAAGCAUAUAAUCAGAAAUAACAGCUCUCAUCAGGCACAGACAAUAGAUAGCAAACUGGCUUCAGAAAAGAUAUUCAGGCAUCAUGGGAGCCAAAUCAACAGACACAAGUGCUUUCUCUUAGGAGGAUGCUCAUGACAGUUUGAUUACUUGGAAUCUGAGGAGAAAAUGCCCAACCAAAGAAAUCAGUUGACACAGAGGAAAACCAGCAGCACAUUAAAAUAAGAAAACCAAGAGGUUUUGUGAAGGACACAAUUGCGUGUUUGCGUGUUGCUGAAACACAGAGGGAGAGAGGCUGCAUGGAGCUGCUGCUGCAAACAGAGCCCAGGGUAUGUGCACUCCAUCUAUGCCAUUGCAUGCCCAUGGCACUACUGGGAUUGCUGGAGGAGUCCUGUGGAAGAGAAGUCCUCAGGCCUUGAAGGGGAGAAGGCAGUUUGAUGCCAGCCUGUUAGGACUGAAGCACAUUGUCCUGCUGUUGCUGUGCAGAAAAGCUGAAUCACUGAGAACCUUGUUCCUCUGAAUAAACUUCCAGAUCUCAGGUCUUCUCAUACCACUGGACAGGACAACAUGCCUGAAGUGAUUGUAAAGAACACUUCAUACAAAGGAAAUAAAUGAGUUUCAAGCCAUCCCCUCUUGUCCUGUAACAACAUCCUCUUGUCCAUUGUCCAUGGUGGAAACAAACUCUGCUUAAUUGUGGUCAGGCUGCUGUGAACAGGGAGGAUCCUGUUUGGCACCAUCCAAAUGGCAGUGGCCUUCAGCUUGAUGGGAACUGUGAAAUGUCCAACUGCAACAGGAAAAAAUGCCCCGGAACCACCAACUCACUCAGCUGCACAAAGUUGGUAGCACGAGGUACAGCAAAGCCCAAGCUAGGCAGACACUCCAGAGCUGCCCUGUAAUCCCUGAAUCCUGCUGAAUUCACAGCCUGGUGAUAUAUCAAUGUCAAAGGGAUGCAAAUGGUAAUUCUGCCUGGCUGUUAAACUGCCUGGUGUUACCCUAUUUCCAAUGGCUGCU